rnacentral:misc_RNA from 1 species
AACGCACCUUGCGCCCUUUGGUAUUCCGAAGGGCAUGCCUGUUUGAGUGUCAUGUAGACUCAACCCCUCGGGUUUCCGAGAUGGUUGGAUUUGGGCGUUGCCUACCCGGCUCGCCUUAAAGGUCUUAGCGGAAUAGCACCGAUGUCGGCGUAAUAAGUUUCGUCGACGGACUAGUGUGAUGUCUGCUUACAAUCGCCCUCGGGCAUCUUUUGACUCUGACCUCAAAUCAGGUAGGACUACCCGCUGAACUUAA